AGAGUUUGAUCCUGGCUCAGGACGAACGCUGGCGGCGCGCCUAACACAUGCAAGUCGAACGGAGUCAAGAGGAGCUUGCUUUUCUUGACUUAGUGGCGAACGGGUGAGUAACGCGUGAGUAACCUGCCCUGGAGUGGGGGACAACAGUUGGAAACGACUGCUAAUACCGCAUAAGCCCACGGAUCCGCAUGAAUCUGCGGGAAAAGGAUUUAUUCGCUUCAGGAUGGACUCGCGUCCAAUUAGCUAGUUGGUGAGGUAACGGCCCACCAAGGCGACGAUUGGUAGCCGGACUGAGAGGUUGAACGGCCACAUUGGGACUGAGACACGGCCCAGACUCCUACGGGAGGCAGCAGUGGGGGAUAUUGCACAAUGGGGGAAACCCUGAUGCAGCGACGCCGCGUGGAGGAAGAAGGUUUUCGGAUUGUAAACUCCUGUCGUUAGGGACGAUAAUGACGGUACCUAACAAGAAAGCACCGGCUAACUACGUGCCAGCAGCCGCGGUAAAACGUAGGGUGCAAGCGUUGUCCGGAAUUACUGGGUGUAAAGGGAGCGCAGGCGGACCGGCAAGUUGGAAGUGAAAACUAUGGGCUCAACCCAUAAAUUGCUUUCAAAACUGCUGGCCUUGAGUAGUGCAGAGGUAGGUGGAAUUCCCGGUGUAGCGGUGGAAUGCGUAGAUAUCGGGAGGAACACCAGUGGCGAAGGCGACCUACUGGGCACCAACUGACGCUGAGGCUCGAAAGCAUGGGUAGCAAACAGGAUUAGAUACCCUGGUAGUCCAUGCCGUAAACGAUGAUUACUAGGUGUUGGAGGAUUGACCCCUUCAGUGCCGCAGUUAACACAAUAAGUAAUCCACCUGGGGAGUACGACCGCAAGGUUGAAACUCAAAGGAAUUGACGGGGGCCCGCACAAGCAGUGGAGUAUGUGGUUUAAUUCGAAGCAACGCGAAGAACCUUACCAGGUCUUGACAUCCGAUGCAUAGUGCAGAGAUGCAUGAAGUCCUUCGGGACAUCGAGACAGGUGGUGCAUGGUUGUCGUCAGCUCGUGUCGUGAGAUGUUGGGUUAAGUCCCGCAACGAGCGCAACCCUUAUUGCCAGUUACUACGUAAGAGGACUCUGGCGAGACUGCCGUUGACAAAACGGAGGAAGGUGGGGAUGACGUCAAAUCAUCAUGCCCCUUAUGACUUGGGCUACACACGUGCUACAAUGGCGUAAACAAAGGGAAGCAAAGCUGUGAAGCCGAGCAAAUCUCAAAAAUAACGUCUCAGUUCGGACUGUAGUCUGCAACCCGACUACACGAAGCUGGAAUCGCUAGUAAUCGCAGAUCAGAAUGCUGCGGUGAAUACGUUCCCGGGUCUUGCACACACCGCCCGUCA
rnacentral:rRNA from 1 species